GAGAGCAUCCAAAAUAACAGCUGAUCAGGGAUGAUGGAACAAUACAGUGAACAGUCCCAAAUCUGCUGCCUUUUUGGGAAAUCACAGCUUGCACUUAAGAAGUACUAAGUCACAUACAGUGAGGUAGCAUUGUUUUGCAAGAAGGUGCCUGGGCAUGAAUCUACCUGAAGCACAGAAAAAACUCUGACCUGUGUGUUCACCUCAGUUGACAGCAGAGCAGCGUAUUUGUUAGUGAGCAGCAUGCUGUCAGACUGGUCAGCAUACAAACCUGAUUGUUCUCCCCAUGCCACACAAUUCUAAGAACACCUGUUGAAGAUUUGGAAGGCAGCAGCAGCAUUUUUGAGAGCAGAAGGGUGGUCUCCUAGGCAAACACAGCAAAUGCAGCCAAAAGCUCCUUUCUGUCUAGCUUCACCUUAUCCCUUCACAACAUAUCACUGAGGAACAUCUGGCUGGAAAAGGAUCCAGAAGUUCAUAGAAGAAGGCUAAAACUGUGUGAAGCAAUCUGGUUGUAGGUGACUCUUCAGCCUGCCAGACAAAGGUAUAACAAGAUCCAAGAUUUGCAGGCUGAAAGCAGCGGAUUUCAGGGCAAGGA